UUUUGGAAACCUCACUCCAUACAUUUCAGAGAGUGAUGCCAUUGGUACUAAAGGAACUAGCUUCUGUCUGAGGCAACUAAUAGAAGGGAUGCUGCAUUUUGCCUUGCUGUAGUUUUUUCCUUUCAUCAAUACCAGAUACUGUGGUGACAUAUUACGUGGACUUUACCCACUAUUUGGGGAAUCUGAACCAGAAAAUGUUGCUGGUUCAGUGGCAAUGAUGAUAAUGGCGCAUCCUGAGCACGUCCCCUUAAAUCAAGUUGUUGGUCCUGCUAGCUGCUUCUAGUGCCUUCUCCAUUUUUCAUCUGUGGGGAGUCGGGAUGCCUAUUUUCUUCCAAGAUUCACACUGUGCAAACGUAUGUGUAUCUUUUCCUUAUUUAU